rnacentral:rRNA from 1 species
UUCGCAAUGCCCGAAAGGGUGACGAAGCGACGCCGCGUGCGGGAAGAAGGCCUUCGGGUUGUAAACCGCUGUCGGGAGUUAAGAAAUGUAAGGAUGUUAAUAGCAUCUUUGCUUGACUAAGGCUCCGGAGGAAGCCACGGCUAACUCUGUGCCAGCAGCCGCGGUAAUACAGAGGCGGCAAGCGUUGUUCGGAAUUAUUGGGCGUAAAGAGCACGUAGGCGGCUAUGUAAGUCGGUUGUGAAAGCCUUCCGCUCAACGGGAGAACAGCAUCCGAUACUGCAUGGCUUGAGUGCGGGAGGGAAGAGUGGAACUUCUGGUGGAGCGGUGAAAUGCGUAGAUAUCAGAAGGAACGCCGGCGGCGAAGGCGGCUCUCUGGCCCAUAACUGACGCUGAGUGUGCGAAAGCUAGGGGAGCAAACGGGAUUAGAUACCCCGGUAGUCCUAGCCGUGAACGAUGGGCACUAAGUAGAGGGGUUUU